AACGAACGCUGGCGGCAGGCCUAACACAUGCAAGUCGAGCGCGCCCUUCGGGGUGAGCGGCGGACGGGUGAGUAACGCGUGGGAACGUGCCCUUUUCUACGGAAUAGCCUCGGGAAACUGAGAGUAAUACCGUAUACGCCCUUUGGGGGAAAGAUUUAUCGGAAAAGGAUCGGCCCGCGUUGGAUUAGGUAGUUGGUGGGGUAAUGGCCUACCACGCCGACGAUCCAUAGCUGGUUUGAGAGGAUGAUCAGCCACACUGGGACUGAGACACGGCCCAGACUCCUACGGGAGGCAGCAGUGGGGAAUCUUAGACAAUGGGGGCAACCCUGAUCUAGCCAUGCCGCGUGAGUGAUGAAGGCCUUAGGGUUGUAAAGCUCUUUCAGCUGGGAAGAUAAUGACGGUACCAGCAGAAGAAGCCCCGGCUAACUCCGUG
rnacentral:rRNA from 1 species